rnacentral:lncRNA from 1 species
GCACUCAAGCAGAGAAGAAAUCCACAAGUACUCACCAGCCUCCUGGUCUGCAGAGAAGACAGAAUCAAUAUGAGCACAGCAGGAAAAGUAAUCAAAUGCAAAGCAGCUGUGCUAUGGGAGUUAAAGAAACCCUUUUCCAUUGAGGAGGUAGAGGUUGCACCUCCUAAGGCUCAUGAAGUUCGCAUUAAGAUGGUGGCUGCAGGAAUCUGUCGUUCAGAUGAGCAUGUGGUUAGUGGCAACCUGGUGACCCCCCUUCCUGUGAUUUUAGGCCAUGAGGCAGCCGGCAUCGUGGAAAGUGUUGGAGAAGGGGUGACUACAGUCAAACCAGAAUUUGUAAAAACCCAGAAAGCAACUACUGCUUGAAAAAUGAUCUAGGCAAUCCUCGGGGGACCCUGCAGGAUGGCACCAGGAGGUUCACCUGCAGCGGGAAGCCCAUCCACCACUUCGUCGGCGUCAGCACCUUCUCCCAGUACACAGUGGUGGAUGAGAAUGCAGUGGCCAAAAUUGAUGCAGCCUCGCCCCUGGAGAAAGUCUGCCUCAUUGGCUGUGGAUUUUCGACUGGUU